GAGUUUGAUCUUGGCUCAGAUUGAACGCUGGCGGCAUGCCUUACACAUGCAAGUCGAACGGCAGCACGGGAGCAAUCCUGGUGGCGAGUGGCGAACGGGUGAGUAAUACAUCGGAACGUGCCCAGUAGUGGGGGAUAACCCGACGAAAGCCGGACUAAUACCGCAUACGACCUACGGGUGAAAGCAGGGGAUCGCAAGACCUUGCGCUAUCGGAGCGGCCGAUGUCAGAUUAGCUUGUUGGCGGGGUAAAAGCCCACCAAGGCGACGAUCUGUAGCUGGUCUGAGAGGACGACCAGCCACACUGGGACUGAGACACGGCCCAGACUCCUACGGGAGGCAGCAGUGGGGAAUUUUGGACAAUGGGCGCAAGCCUGAUCCAGCCAUGCCGCGUGCGGGAAGAAGGCC
rnacentral:rRNA from 1 species